UACGAAGGGUGCAAGCGUUACUCGGAAUCACUGGGCGUAAAGCGUGCGUAGGCGGUUCGUUAAGUCUGCUGUGAAAGCCCUGGGCUCAACCUGGGAACUGCAGUGGAUACUGGCGGACUAGAGUGUGAUAGAGGAUGGUGGAAUUCCCGGUGUAGCGGUGAAAUGCGUAGAGAUCGGGAGGAACACCAGUGGCGAAGGCGGCCAUCUGGAUCAACACUGACGCUGAAGCACGAAAGCG
rnacentral:rRNA from 1 species